rnacentral:lncRNA from 1 species
ACACCACCCCUCCUGUGCAUUCAUCACCUCCUGUCGUCUCUCUCUUGCCGGAACAAAUCUGGAAGAAAGAACAUACCUGUAGUGGAUCAUCAACAUAGGCUAAGUUAAGCCAAAAUCUACACAGAUCGAAAAUAGGAACAAAAUCACGCAAAAGCAUGAGCCAAGAGAAACCCUAGGAAGAACUAGGAUAUGGUCGCAUGAACUAGUAGUCUAUGAUCACAGGAAAACUGAAAACUAGAUGCCCAGAUCAUAUUUUUGAAUUUGCAGAAAUAAACACACAACAGGGAUCAAAACAUGCUCAGGAAGCUAGCAAUUCCAUUUUGGGAAAACUAGUUAAAAACAUGCAAGGGGGAGGAUUGCUCCAGUUGAGAGAAAAUAUGGCUAUUUUCACAGACUUUGGAAACUGAAAGACCAAACACUGUUAAGAGACUUUGAUCUGCUAGUUUUAGACACUUUCUACUUGUUCUUAAAAACUACUCUGUACCUGUGAUUGAAGGACUGAAUUUAAGUAACUUUGGAAGUGUAAACUGCUAUGAUCUGAUGCUUGCUUACACUGAAUAUUGAUAGGCAUUAACAUAAGCACUAAAAAUUGAAAUUAACAGAAAAAUGACAAACAAAAAUCAGGCUAAAAACAUUCACGCUAGAAGGCACUCACACUAGUAGCAACAAACAAAACUGAUAACAUAUUUACAGUUCAGAACUGAAAGGACAAAUUUGUGACUGUUAGAUAAAAUUACUGGGACCUUCUUUGCAAAAUUACUCUGCGUUUAUUUACAGUUCAGAACUGAAUACUUGUUCGCAUUAAGAGAUAAUUUACUCAAAAUAUUGAGUGCAGGUGCCUACAAUCGAACCAAAUGCAAUGAAAUGCAGCAUCAAAGGACAGGCGAUGUACCUCAAGAAAGAUGAAGUUGAUUUCCUUAACAUAUGGCUAUCUAAUAGCAGAAAACAAUCCUGAAAACAAAAAACAUUAUCGAAAACAUGCUUUCUCUAACUAGUUUCCUGACAAAUAACAAAGUGGAUCAUACUCUUUUACUGAGCUACUUCAGGCGCAAAUGAUGUACAAGGCGUAGCUGCAUUGCAAAAAUACAUAGAAAACUAAAAUAGAGAAAAUCUACCGACACUAUUCAUCGGCUAAUGAUAUAACAUUGAUUUACUUUGUGCAGCAACAAUAUGUGGAGCCUGAGCCUGACAUGACAAACUACAUGGAAUGGCAUAGUACUGACCAGAACAAUGAAUUCAAAUAUGCAGAAACACCUCCUAACACCAACGGGGAAGAGAAAAACGGUAAGCAUACAAAGCAUACAAUAAAACUCGAACCUAGCAACUGUAGGUACACAAAAUAAAGCAAUUAUAUUGUGUUGCUUGCAGGCACAAAAAUGAUUUAAUUACAUUUGAAGUGGGUGCAGGGGCAUAUAAUAAAAAUCACAGUAAAAUAUAGCUGUAACAUUUAAACCUACUUCAAUUAGAAUUGUAUUACAGAAGAUUAACUAAAGAGCCUAACAAAUAAAAAACUAUCCAAAACACGCUGAAAAAAACAAACAGAAACUAACAUUAGCAUCAAGCAAGAAUACAUACAUAACUGGUAAAAACUAAUUUACUCCAAAUUACACUACAAUACAGCUAAAAUUACACCAACGAAUGCACUGUGAAUUCAUAUACAAGCCACAAUAAAAAUAAACAUUACAAGAAACUAAGAAAUGGUGGAGAAAAUCAUGACACUACGACAUGCUCAGGACAAUAUACUAUCCGCACCAACGGGGACAACGAAAACACAAAGCAACUGAAUCUCUAGUUCCUAAAAUGACAUAUCCAAACUUGAGAAAAUCAAAGCACACAUACAGGGCAGAGCGAUCUUACAUCAAGCUACAACUGAAGGAUGCAAAAUCCAAUGCCGAACUAGCGCAUGUAGCUAAAAAAGGGGAAAAGCAUGAACACUUACAUGCUAAAAAUGGGAAUUACAUACCAAAUCCACUAAGAAUUACAGUGUAAAUUCACUAAGAAUUACACUGUAAACCCCCUAGGAAUUACACUAUAGAAUCUACUAGGAAUUACACUGUAAAAUCCAGUGAGAACUACAGUGUAAAUCCAUUGGGAAUUAGAGUGAAAAUCCGUUGAGAAUUACAGUGUGAAUCCACUAGGAUUACUAGAUUACAUUCAAAAAGAUUAGAUGCAAUCACUGUUGUUACACUAUAGUAAUUACACUAAAAAGAUAAAGUAAUUACACUACGAAAUCCACUAAGAAUUACCAGACUACAAUAAAAAAGAUAUCAGAUCACAUAACGGAUAUGCCGUUAGUUACAGCGGCACCAGAUAAUGAGGACAUUCAGUGCAAUAUCACAGUCCCAAUCUCCUUGUUAAUUGUGAUUUGCAGUUCCAGUAGCAACAUAAAUGCCCAAGUUAGGACAGAGAUCACACUUAGUCCCAAAAUUGUGAUGUUCAGAUCCCAAAAUGGCCAGACAUGACACAUUCAGAAGUACAAGAGCACAAAACCUGCCCAACUCACACACCUAGAACAAUCAAAACAGAUCAAAAUGACCAUCUGCGCUCACCCAACCUAAACACAAACAAAUCCAAAAUUUGUACAGAAAAACCCUAAUCUGACUCUCACAUGGCAGACAGAAUUUAGAUGGAAAAUUCACUCCUAAACAGUAGAUCAAUGGAAAUUUUAUAACAUAGAGUAGUAAGUUACAAGGUUAAAUUCACAUUAAAAUUAGAUUAUAAGUACACUGAUAUUCAGUUUAAUGUAGUGUGCUGGAAAAAGUGGAAAAAUUCAGAGUAGACCACUGUAACUUACACAUUCCUGAAAUUACAAGCCAAUGGAACAAAACACUCAAAAAUUGCAGUGUAAGGUAGACUAAUAAAAGACUGAAACUACAGGCCAAAUCACCGUUACUUAUCUGAAAUAUUCAGUCCACAUCACUGUCCAAUUAACUCAAAGUUACAGUCCAAAUCACUAACCAAAACACUAUAAAUUACAGUCCAAAUCAUUGUUACUUAACUGAAAAAAUUAAAUCACAUCACUGUCCAAUUCACAAGUUACAGUCCAAAUCACUACCCAAAACACUGAAAAUUGAAGUCCAAAUCAAUGUUACUUAACUGGAAAAAUUCAGGACACAUCACUGUCCAAUUCAUUCACAGUUACAGUCCAAAUCACUAACCAAAACCACUAAAAAUUACAGUCCAAAAUCAUUGCUACUAAACUGAAUAAAUUGAGUCCACCAAUUACACAUCACGAAACUUAACCCACCAAUCCCAGCCAUCUACAUCAAAACACAGACCAGACGAACAACAGCCUACCAAACUAGCAGACGCCGAAGGGAUAAGUGUACUUCUAGUCUAAUUUUAACAUGAAUAUCAGUGAUCUACUCAAGGAACAACACAAACCACAUACAUCUACAAAAAAUAUCUGCGGGUAACACAUGCAACUACCACAAACAACAAGAUCCGGCCGAGAAAACUCUACACGUGGCUAACAAACAGAUCUGGGAAUGGCACAAAUCGACGAGAAUAC